rnacentral:rRNA from 1 species
UACGAAGGGGGCUAGCGUUGUUCGGAUUUACUGGGCGUAAAGCGCACGUAGGCGGAUCGUUAAGUCGGGGGUGAAAUCCUGGAGCUCAACUCCAGAACUGCCUUCGAUACUGGGAGUCUUGAGUUCGGGAGAGGUGAGUGGAACUGCGAGUGUAGAGGUGAAAUUCGUAGAUAUUCGCAAGAACACCGGUGGCGAAGGCGGGACUCUGGGCCGAUACUGACGCUGAGGAGCGAAAGCGUGGGGAGCAAACAGG